GUGCUUGCUUAGGUAGUACAUGUACUAAAACUGGAAUGAUACAGAGAAGAUUAGUAUGGCCCCUGUGCAAGGAUGACAUGCAAAUUCAUGAAACUUUCCAUAUUUUU
rnacentral:snRNA from 1 species